CAGGUAGUCGGCGUGGACCGUUGCUGCCCGCAGACGCCAGCGAAGGAAGAAGGGUCUUUGAGGCUCAGAGCCACCGAGACCCCAGCUCCUCUUAGCCGACUGGCCCCCCACUAAUCUAUGCGUCGAGGUCCGCGUGCCCCUCCCCUGGGAAAAGCUGAAGUGAGGACGCCUGAAAGAACCGCUGCUGGGCAUGGGACCUUUGAAGAAUAUGCAGAAUGUGGAAAUACCACACCUCUGAGGACAGCAAUGCUUGGCUCCUUGCCUAAGGAGAGAAGCAGCCCUUCCCAGAGGUGUUGGAUGAACAACAGGUUAGUUACUUGAAUCUGAGCAAAAGGAAGAAGAGUCAGUAAGCUGUCGCUAUCUCAAAGAUGCUGUCCUGCCAUGCCUCCUCCCUCCGUGAAGCCCUCUGUGACCCACCACACAGGAAGUGGGCGGUCCCUCCUGCGUGCAGACACACAGCAAGCCCACCACCCUAGAAGCCCUCAGCUCACCGAGCACUGAAUCCUACCUGAGCUGGGAGCAACUUGAGGCUGGAGACCAGAUCUUUCUUCCUAUAGUCUCAUCUCCUCUUGUAUGGACCCAGGCCACGGGCCACCACACCUGCCAGAGCGAUGGAACACUGCCUCUCCCAGGGCAUGGGCCCCGGGAGCAGCUUUGUUCUGGAGCAACUGAGCCUGUUUCCUAGACCCUGUACAGCAUCCUUGCCCCACAGAGGCACCCUGUACUGGGUACAAUCAUAAUUUGGGAGAGUUUCUUUACAACAUGAAAUCAGUGUCUAGGCACAGAUUUCAAGCAUUGCGGAGCCCUGGUUUGUGAGAAUGCCAUUAUACUGGUGGGAAAAGCAGCCCUGGUGGGAAAGGCGGACCCUGCCUUUACCUGUACGGGAAGAGGGGCAGACCGUGUCUGGAAGGAAGUGGCAAGUAUGUGUGUGCAUGUGAGGGGUGACAAGCUCUGGGCUCACACACUCCUGUGGCAAAAGUUCAGGCUGGGCCUGGGUCCCUGCCCUUAGGAUCUGGAAGCCCCAGAGCUCCUGCCAGAAGGCCUAGAGUGCAGGCUGUGAUUAUCUGGGAACACGGUCUUCCCCAGGCCACGGUGGCCAAGA